rnacentral:rRNA from 1 species
UACGGGGGGAGCAAGCGUUGUUCGGAUUUACUGGGCGUAAAGGGCGCGUAGGCGGCCACCGCAAGUCGACUGUGAAAUCUCCGGGCUUAACCCGGAAAGGUCAGCCGAUACUGCGGGGCUAGAGUGCAGAAGGGGCAACUGGAAUUCUCGGUGUAGCGGUGAAAUGCGUAGAUAUCGAGAGGAACACCUGCGGCGAAGGCGGGUUGCUGGGCUGACACUGACGCUGACGUGCGAAAGCUAGGGGAGCGAACGGG